GAUGUGGAUAUACUCAGACAAUCAGGAUGUUGGCUCAGAAGCAGCCACUCAUUGAAAGAGUGCGUAAUAGCUCACUGUCUGAGCGUCUCUGCUCGGAUUAUUUUACGGGGCUUAGAUACUUACCUAAGCUUAGUCUGUGUACUUUGUACUCGUGUUUAGGGGAGCUUUGUGUAAUCGGAGAAACAGUAGCGUAAUCUGCUUUUGAGUUUACAGAAUUGAGAAUGCCGUAAUGAGUAGCUCGAAUUUGUUGAGAAUCCACAUGGUCGGAUACCUCAGGUUUUUGGAGGAAGGUUCGUCCGCUCCAAGUUAGGCGGGAGCUAAGGUCAGGCCGAAAGGCGUAGCCGAUGCACAGACGGUAGAGAUUCCGUCCCCACCGAAAGAUUUAAGCACAGGGACACUUUUUGAAGGUCGGAGCCAGGUGUUGGUUCUGGUAGUGAUCGAGGGAAAUAUAGUACCGAAGUCCGGCUGGAAGAGAGGCGAGAAAAGCUGUGUGUAUAUCUAAGGUGCCCGUACCGCAAACCGACACAGGUAGGUAGGAAGAAGAUUCUAAGGCCAACGGGAGAAGGGUUGUUAAGGAACUCGGCAAGUUGACCCCGUAACUUCGGAAUAAGGGGUGCUCACGAGAGUGAGCCGCAGAGAAUAGGCCCAGGCAACUGUUUACCAAAAACACAGGUUUGUGCUAAAUCGAAAGAUGACGUAUACGAGCUGACGCCUGCCCGGUGCUGGAAGGUUAAAAGGAGAUGUGCAAGCAUUGAAUUGAAGCCCCAGUGAACGGCGGCCGUAACUAUAACGGUCCUAAGGUAGCGAAAUUCCUUGUCAGGUAAGUUCUGACCCGCAUGAAAGGCGUAAUGAUCUGGGCACUGUCUCAACAGCCCGCCCGGCGAAAUUGUAGUACCGGUGAAGAUGCCGGUUACCCGCGACAAGACGGAAAGACCCCAUGGAGCUUUACUGUAGCCUGAUAUUGGGUUUCGGUGUUGCAUGCACAGGAUAGAUGGGACGCUAGGAAAGAAGCGCUUUGGCGUUUCUGGAGCGGACGUUGGGAUACCAUCCUUGCGACAUUGGAAUUCUAACCUGCGCCUCUGAAUCGAGGCGGGGGACAUUGUCAGGUGGGCAGUUUGACUGGGGCGGUCGCCUCCUAAAAAGUAGCGGAGGCGUUCAAAGGUUCGUUCGAUCUGGACGGAAACCAGAUGAUUGAGUGCAAACGCAUAAACGAGCCUGACUGCGAGACUGACGGGUCGAGCAGAGACGAAAGUCGGAGUUAGUGAUCCGGUGGUAUGUGAGUGGAAAUGCCAUCGCUCAACGGAUAAAAGUUACCCUGGGGAUAACAGGCUGAUCUCCCCCAAGAGUCCACAUCGACGGGGAGGUUUGGCACCUCGAUGUCGGCUCAUCGCAUCCUGGGGCUGAAUUCGGUCCCAAGGGUUUGGCUGUUCGCCAAUUAAAGCGGUACGCGAGCUGGGUUCAGAACGUCGUGAGACAGUUCGGUCCCUAUCUGUCGUGGGCGCAGGAUAUUUGAAA
rnacentral:rRNA from 1 species